rnacentral:lncRNA from 1 species
CUUUAUAAAGAUAUGGAUGGCAAUGAUAAACAUAAUCUCAGAUUUAAUUUGCUCAGUGAAAAUAAAGAUGUUUCUUAACGAUGGAUUCAAAUUCUUACUUGCACCUCCAACCAAAAUUAUUUUGCUCAUAAAUAAUCAACAAACUACAUCAUCAGAUUUAAUCUUCUUAUUGCUAGAUGCAUCAUAAUCGUUCCAGUUUCUAAUCAAUCUUCUUGUCAUAGUCAUUCCUGCACUUGCACUUACAACAGACGAAACACGUGUUCUUGGUGAUCAUACAAGCCUUGUAAUAAAAAAAUAGUAAUCAAACACGAGAAUUAACAAGAUUCACAAGUGAAAACAAAUACAAAUUUUUUUUGAGCAUAUACAUGACUUUUUCCUAUGUCAUUUCUUCUUGUAAUCAGAAGCAAAAUACCAAGUUUAGACAAACCCUAAAAACUCCAAACACUUGAACAAACAUUAUAUUAUUUUUCCAACUAUCACAGAUAAUCAUAAUCAACAAAGCUUUAAUAAUUAUAUGAUCACAGGACAUCAUUAUUUUAAUCCUCAAUGCUCAAAAAAUUAAGAAUCACAAUCAAAUUUUGGUUAUUACCCUAAGUUGAUUGCUUAGAAUUACUAGUAAUAACUUUAAAAGCAAAUCCAAACAGCCCUAAAUUGAUAAGUUUAGGGAAAAACAUGAGAGCAACAUUUUUUAGAAAAAAUCUAAAAACAUGUAUGCCAAUUUAGAAUUUUGGUUGAAAGCAAAUUUGAUGUACAAAAACCACAUAUAUACAAUAAAUAAAUGCCAUAACUUUACUUAUAAUAGAAAAACAUGUAUAGAAGAAGAAAACUACUUACAAAGAGGCCGAUGAGGAGUGGUGGUCUCAAAGAAACGCAUCUAAUUCCAAAUGUAGAAACUGCAAAAAAAAAAAUCAUCAAAAUUAAUGAUAUAGGACAGAAAUCAAGAGUUUGAAGGAUAGAAAAUAUAAGGUACUUGCAAUGAUAAGCCUUCCACCAGUAGAUGACAAGUAGAUGACAACUGCAACUCAUAUUCUGAUCUAUUACCAAAAGGGCAUUUACGUCUUUUUGCAUAGUAAUGAAGUAAUAUAAAGUAAUGAGUACUGACCUUGACUUGCUUAAUGAAAGAAACAGCAUUCAACAUUCCACUUCUUGAUAAUCAGACCAAAUUAAAGCGUUAUAAGAAGAGAUUUAGGGAUUUAAAACAUAAUAGGAAGAUAUAAAUCAUAAUUAGAAGAGAUAUAUCUCUGCAUCUACAGUAUUGACACUUCCCUUAUGCAUGAUUUAGAUCUUUAGCAAGCUCAUAUGUAAUCAAUACCAAUCGAAUGUAGUGAUUGCAUGUAAUCAAACCUGAAAACAAAAAGAAAUUCCUCAACAUUUUUAUAUCCCCUUCUUAAUUACAAUUGAGAACAAAUUUGUGGAAAGACUUAUCAAAAACAUCAUAGAAGAUCAACUCCUAACUUAUCAACAAGAGUGUCACCUAAUCAGCAAUCUCAAAUAAAACAUGUUUAGGGCUUACCUUUACACUCGAUUAUAGGCUUCUAAGCUCUUGUACUGUUGAGAUGAAGACCCAAAAAAAACCGAGAAAACACCAAUGGGGAUAUGGGGCUAUUUCGUGAGAAACUCAUUGAAAAAUGUUCUGAUAGGAGAAGGAAGGAGCCUAAUGGCAUCGAUCCUAGAAUUCUUAAUUCCAUCUCAACUCGAUUCGUGAUCUGACUUGGCACAUUAUCCAGAUCGACGGUUUUAUAUUGUUUUCUCCACAAAAUCGUCAGUACCUUGAUUAUGAAGAGAAGUUGUUCAUACUAUUUUCAACCAGCCAAUAGAGGAUGAACAAGGGUUAGGGGAAACACGAUCGACGAUAUGGGCUAAGGCGCGAUGUGGAGGAGCCAGGGUGGAGGGACGGAUAGGUAACGAUGACCCCAUGAGAGAAAAACGAAAUAACGAACCCUAGUGGUUUAGAUUAUGUUGGGGGUAAUGGGAAUUUGGAAACCUGAGCGGGAUGUGAGUUGAUUUUCAAUAUUCAGGAUUGACAUCUUCGAUUGUCGAUAGCAGACGUUUAGAUCGAUGGUGCAAUGGAGAACGCGAACAUUGAAGAUAAUAGAUAUUAGGUUUAAAGAGGAGGGAAUUACUAAAUCUAAAAAAUUUCACGUAGAGGGAAUCUGAAACUUUU